CCCGGUGACGCUAGCGGAGAGGUCACACCCGUUCCCAUCCCGAACACGGAAGUUAAGCUCUCCAGCGCCGAAGAUACUCGGGGGGCAACUCCCUGGGAAAAUAGGUCGUCGCCGGGA
rnacentral:rRNA from 1 species